GGUCGGCCCCGACAGUCUACCUGUGGCCGGUGUUACAGACUCGGUGUGCGCUGACUGUUGUGUGUGUGUGUAUUUUCGGUUCCUUCAACGUGUAGGUCUUUUCUGGCCUUAAUACACAGCUACCGCACCUCCUCCAGAGUGGUGAACAGACAGGCAGACCAAAUAUGUCACGCCAGGGCUAAACCUAAAUAUUUUUAGUGGGCGAUGCUUCGCUUCAAGUUCUACUGGAGCCAUUUCGAUGAUCCAAGUCGUUUGAGUACUACAUCCAUGAAGACGAUUAGGUACAGCUCACAGUUCGCCAGGGUCAAGUCAUUUAAGUUGCAUUAUAAAACAGAAAAAAGGCAUAGUAUCUCUUCAUUUAUGUAGAGCCAUUGAUAGAUCUUAUAGCAGAGAAUUAAAAAUGUUCCUCAGUAAAGCUCCAUUUGUUACGUGGUCUAUUACUACGAACGUAUUUUGAAUUUUGAAAUUAAUUGAACUCUGGAGUAAGCGUUGUCGACAGUCGGUUUUUACGAACCAUUUGGCCAAUACUUUAAUUACUAUCAGUACUUUUUAUUGUUUGUUAGUCGAUGAGUAAAUUAGGAUAGAGAAUGCAGUCAAUUAAAUACAAUAGCCUAGGUAUCUAAUUCUUAUUUGCAAAAUGAACACGGUAGGUUAAGAUGUCAUUAUUAUAGCUGAAUCACGCAAAUUGUUAUGAAUAAUGAAAGUAAUAUCUAAAUUAAGAAGCAAAUAAAGUAAUGGGAAACUGAAUUUUGGCGUCUGGUUCGUUAAGUUUUUAUGUCUAUAACGAUGCAAUGUGUCGCUUUUAAUUCUUAAAAGAAAAAUCGUAGAUAUUUGAAGAAAUCUGUUUUAGUGUUUAAAUUGUUAGUGUAGCUGUAUCAAAUUGACUUUGAGGAUUUACUGAAACGACUACGGAGGAAUUACUUCAAUGUCAAAGGGAGCAAAUUGGCGUCGACAGUUGAACUGUGGAAUCGUCUGCAGGGUGCAUAUGGGACAAGCUGAUUAGACCACAGUAUCGCCUAGCAAUUCAACAAGUAUCUGUGAACGAAGAACUGGACUUCAAGAAAGCCUACAUUUAUAAUUAACAAGUAGAAUGUAGUACUUAACCUGUGUCAACAGAUGCCUAUGGCCAGAUGAAAUGGUCCCACCAAACAUUUCCUUACCAGUUAAACAAUAGUUUUGUGGCACAGUCUUGGCUACUCAUGAUUCAUAAGUUUAUCAUGCCAAGUACUUCAGUACAUUUCAGGACAGCUGUUUCCAUUUCUUACCAGUUUAAGAUUCGAUCAGUUGUAGGAUACGUGCAUCGCUUUUUGAAAAUAAAUUGUCCAUAUGUUUAAUAUUAGUUGUCAAGUACGGUAGUUCUGUGUGUUUCAGGAUACAUUGUUUUACCUGAUCAGGGAUCUAGUGUCGGUCAGAGCCGUAUAUACGGCUCUGGUGUCGGUGUGAUAUCAGUCAAAAGUAACUGUGUGUCUGGAUACGUAGGUCAUUCAAUUUUCUUGUGAAGUAUUAACAAUCUGGCAACUUUCAGGAUACGUGCUUUUUAUUUACAUAAGAUUAACCAUAAGAUUUAUGGUUUCAAAUUAACCAUAAAAUAAUCUCAGUUGGUUUUAGGAUAAUUAGCCUUUAUUUUGUUUAUCUAAAUAAAAAAAUGAAAUAUUAGUUCAAUUUCUCAGCCGUGUUAACAUCAGCUGCCAAGGAUCGUAGUCAUUCAUUGCAGGCUGCAUAGUUUUUACCAGUGUUCCUAUUAGUUUACUAUCAACUAUCAGAUAGUUACGGAUGUUUCAGGCUCCAUAAUUUUAAACAUAAAAUUUCUUGUUAGCGAAGUAGCAUCUAUUAGGAGCCAUGGCUACCUUGUGACUAUUUUAUAUCGAGUAGUCACAUAUGUUGAAGAAUAGCCUUCCAUCAACUUAGUUUGAUAUUACAGUCAAGUAAUUGACUAUUUCACGGAAUAUAUCUUCGUCUAGUUGCGAUCUGCACGCUUGCCUAUGUACAAAGGUCACUUGAGAUUAAUGGUAGAAUAUAAUGAUGAUUUUCUGUCAUUCCCUGAUCUUCUACAAAAACUAUCAAUAGCAAAAAGAUUCAAUAGUUGCAAACAACAGGAUUGAUUGACUUAAUGGAAUAUCUUCGUGUUGGUCAGUAUAGUUAGGAAUAGCUGUGUGGAGUCAGACUUUUCAGGUAAUGACCUUCAUAGAAGAGAUAACAUUCAAGGCUAAUUAUUCCUGAUAUUUUUCCUCAGUAAAGCUUAUUAUAGAUAUUGCUAAACUAACUUCCAUAGCAUUAGGAACUUGGAAUUAAGCUGCUCGUAUACAUUUUUGAAAGUUUUGUCCAUAGUUUGUUUAUUUAGUGAUUUAAAUCAGAUUGCCUCUAGAAAAUUGGGAAUAGUUCCGAGAUUUUAAGUUAUUGUAAUGUUAUGUCAGUGUUGGUUUUUAUACUUUGAAACUUUGGUUGCUGAAAGGCUCUGCUGAAUACAAGAGAAAGAGAACUUAUCCUGAAGCAUUGACGUGAUUGCACUGUUAAAACAGGAGAUAUUUCAGUAGUCUAUUAGUUUUAUCUCACAAAAAAAGUGUUAAAGAACUUUUCAUUCUUUCCAAGCGAUUAAACAAAACUGUGAAUUUUGUGCAAAGCUUGCCAUGACAAUAAUGCUGCUUGUUUAACAUGAAACACACACCACUUAGAGGUUAAUUUUGUAAAUAGUGGAGAGUACUUUAUCGAGGGCAUUGUCGUCAUGGGAUCUCUGCAUAUUUCAAGACACUGAGGCUGGGAUGGGGAGGUUCCAAAUUAAGUCUCCUUUUUCGGGCAAUCUUGCAUUGUUGUCAAAAUGCAUCAUAGAUAAAUUAUUGAAUAAGUGAACUCUGAAUUUCACUGUUACUUCAAGGGCCAUUUGCAAUACUGUUAAUGGUAUUUUAGGUAAAGGAUUCAGUCAUAUUGAAUGCAUCACUUAUGGAUAGUUUGAUUUUUCUAAAAUUAUCAUAGGUAGAUGAACCUGUAAGUAGACUCAAAUUCAAAGCGUUACCUUAAAUGAGAUUAGGUAUUGUUAACAAGGGCUCCUUAGGUAUAUGAAUGUCAUUCGAAAGUAGUCUCUGAAAGGGAGUAGUUUGACAAGGCUAUAUUUGACAUAUGGAUGAAUAAGUAUUCUCAGUUAUGUGAACAGUUUAUUCGAUUUCAUGUUACAGUGAUAGAUAAACUUUCUUGGAAGAUUAAAAUCACUUACCUUGAGAACUAGUCAUUUAUUUUUCUCUAGGAAACUGAGUAUAUUCGGGACAUUUGGCACACAAGAUCAAUUCCUUCCUUAGUAGACUCAUAGCUAUUGGGAUAUUUGCUAUUUAAUUUAAUACGAUUUUUUACUGUUUCCUUGCAAGGUUCUCACAGAGGGACUGAUUGUCCAUGAACACUGUAAAUGGGAGUGGUUAGGUUGAAGAGGUUGAACAGCAAAGUGGAAGGAACUACAGGGGAAAUUAUCUGAUAAUCGGGGAGUUUUGUUACACGUAGACUUGGUCUCAAGAAUGGUUAUCAGAAAUUAAAUGUUAAGAGAAGAGUUCUGUCUAAGCUUCAGACCCAAAUCAAUCCUGAAAUUGCCUGUAGUUAUAUUGCAAGAGGGUACGUCUUAAGUUGCUUGUGACUCUUAACAGAAAUCAUUUGAGAAAUGCAAUUAUUUUUGAGUUAUAGGUCUAGUCAGUUUUAGAAUAAGUGCAACAGUGUCUUGACAUAUGGAGAAUUUUUGGUUAAGGUAUAAAGGUUUUUUUAUUGUUGAAUUAUUGCAUAGUUCCCUUUGAGUUUAUAGUUGAAGAUUUAACUGUUAGUGUUAAACAUGUAACUGUUAUUGUUAAGAAUUAACUUUAAAUUUUGAAUAAUGGGAAAAUUAGUGUCAUAUCAAAUUGUAAAUUGAUCUUAUACAGAAACUCUGUAUUUCAACUUUCUGCUCAGUUCUCACCAAGUACUGUACAAGGCUUCAAUCAUCUUGGAGUAUCCAUUACUUUUGUUAGGUCCUAAUGAAACUAAAUAAGUCUAAAAACUGCUGAAAAUACUCUAGCCGUACCAGAAAAGUCUGAAUAUAAGAACCAGAUAUUGUAAAUUGAUGUAAGUAACUUAGACAUUGUUCUUAUUUCUUCCUCUCAACCUUCCAGUCUGUCUGGACUUUUUUUUUUUUUUUUUUUUUUUUUUUUUUGUCAAGUCGAAAUCUUAUAUUGUACAUUCAGGGGGAUCUUUUCGGUCUGCUGUUAAAGCUGUUACGUCGGAACACUUUGCAGAUUUGCAGCACAACUUGUAAGCUGCUGAAUUGCAAUUUUCCACUUUUCAUGCUGUAAUAAUAAACCCUUCACAAUUUGUUGACCAAUUUCUGCAUACUCUCUCUCUCUCUCUCUCUCUCUCUCUCUCUCUCUCUCUC